GUGAAUGAUGAUAUAUGCACUGGGCUCUGAGCAGUUUAUUACUGUACUUUUUGAUGGAAAUGUGUAGCCUAGAAAGCUUAAUCUGACCC